GCGGAUCUGGUGUACGGUGCACUGCUGCUCUCUAUUCAAGUCUUCAAAGAAGAAUUGAGCAGCAAUAAGGGGUUCGACUCCCCUUGUCCGCA